rnacentral:rRNA from 1 species
AUGAGGAACCGGACGGAAGAUAUGGCUGUGAGAAGAGACAAAUACGACUAUGAAUAUGGUCGUGGUGUUGGGAUGAUCGAUGACAACAUUACAGAGGAGUAUAGGCUGAAAAAAAUUGCGGAAGAAGAAGCUCAAAAAACCAAGAAAGCUAGUAGCAAAAAAUCUAACGUUACUGGAACGAGGAAAGAGGGCAGUACCUCGGAGGCUUCGAGCCAGAAGCCUACUAUGGACCGGAUUUUGAGUGAGAUGAAUGAGCUUCGGAAGGAAAUGCUUCGUUUGCCAGAGUUAUGCGCACAGAGAAUGAUUGAGAAACUGAACAAAACCGGCAUCUCCUACAAACCCAGUAACCUGGAAGAGGACGAAGACAAUCUGUACGGAGGCAUUAAUGAGUCUUCAAACGAUGGUGGACGUUCGAAAAAAGAGUUUGUAUAUCAAAAAGAUGAUUCAGACCGGUUCCGCACACCUUCCAAAAUGAAUUUGCAAAAUAAUGAUGACGGCGUUGAUGUAACUUCUCGUGAAAACACACCUUUUUACUGCACACCUGAGUACUGGCAUAGUUUCAAGGGAGUACAAGAGGAAGUGGAGGAGGUUACUGGCAGGCGCAAGCACAAAGGAUCACAACAUGUCAAGUCUCCUUAUGUGGUCCCUAAACCGAACAAACGUGCAAAACGUUCUGCCAAAGGAAAAUUGUUCCAAAAUGGUGGUGUUAACAAAUCUGGUGAUGAGUAUGAUGUGGUGAAAGCGUCCAUCAAGUACGUGCGCGCGCAUGAGCAUUCACAAAAACAUGCCAAAACAGAAAUUUUCAAUGAUGGCAUGGAAGAAGGUCUCAUUGUGCGGAGAGCUUGUCACAUUAUUAACCAUGAGUGGCUAAGUGGCGACUUAAGUUAA